UACGAAGGGGGCUAGCGUUGCUCGGAUUGACUGGGCGUAAAGGGCGCGUAGGCGGUUUGCACAGUCAGACGUGAAAUUCCUGGGCUUAACCUGGGGGCUGCGUUUGAUACGUGCAGGCUUGAGUUCGGAAGAGGGUCGUGGAAUUCCCAGUGUAGAGGUGAAAUUCGUAGAUAUUGGGAAGAACACCGGUGGCGAAGGCGGCGACCUGGUCCGAUACUGACGCUGAGGCGUGAAAGCGUGGGGAGCAAACAGG
rnacentral:rRNA from 1 species